rfam:Leisingera methylohalidivorans DSM 14336 strain MB2, DSM 14336, complete genome.
CCCCUUUGCAACCCGAAAGAAGCAGACUAUAUAGCCACUGUUCCCUUGUGGAACUAUGGACAUAAACGCGCUCGUAAUAAGCGGAUCGGACCCGGGGGCGGUACCCGGCGACUCCACCAAACAUCCUUCAUUUGGGGAUCAUGGGGUCGAAACAGGAUCGACGGACGUCUAAAGGGGUUAGCUUUGUCUCGGCGGGGUGCCACCGUACCGGCCCAAACAGUACAAUUGCAAAUGACAAUCGUGCUCCGGCAAUGGCUCUGGCUGCGUAAGCAGUUCGAGUCGCCGAAACUAAGUCCUUGCGCCUAGCAGUGUAAGGCGGGGUUCGCAGGUACCUGGCAACAGAAACCUGCACU